rnacentral:rRNA from 1 species
UACGGGGGGGCAAGCGUUGUUCGGAAUUACUGGGCGUAAAGGGCGCGUAGGCGGUUCGCUAAGUUGAAUGUGAAAACUCUGGGCUUAACCCAGAGCCUGCAUUCAAUACUGGCGGGCUAGAGUUCUGGAGGGGAUAGCGGAAUUCCCGGUGUAGCGGUGAAAUGCGUAGAGAUCGGGAGGAACACCAGAGGCGAAGGCGGCGACCUGGACAAGUACUGACACUCAACUACGAAAGCGUGGGGAGCAAACAGG